rnacentral:rRNA from 1 species
UACAGAGGGUGCAGGCGUUGUUCGGAAUUAUUGGGCGUAAAGCGCGUGUAGGCGGCUUGGCAAGUCGGGUGUGAAAGCCCUCAGCUCAACUGAGGAAGUGCGCCCGAAACUGCUAUGGCUUGAGUGCCGGAGAGGGUGGCGGAAUUCCCCAAGUAGAGGUGAAAUUCGUAGAUAUGGGGAGGAACACCGGUGGCGAAGGCGGCCACCUGGACGGCGACUGACGCUGAGGCACGAAAGCCAGGGGAGCAAACGGG